rnacentral:lncRNA from 1 species
AUGAUGAGCAUGGCUCCUAUGGGUAGCAACCUGAUGCUGUCCUGCCCUCGAGGACAGGAGAUCAACAUCGUGUCAAUGGUUUACAGCAACAAGGGGUUUGAGAAUAAUGCUCAGGACUUCUGCAGCAGCAUUGCACCUCCAAGCUGUUUACAUCCCAUGUUAAUGCCGUUGUCAAAGUCUAUCUGUGAUGACCUGCAGGAGUGCAGGUUAGCUAAAUCACAAAAAAGAAUGUUGAUCUGCGAUCUCGACACCUUCACCGCCGUUUCAGCCUUCUACACUUGUGAGAACAAGUUUCCAGAUAAACGUACUGUCAUUGCCUGCAAGGAUCAGAGUGCCGACUUAAAGUGUGAAAAGGGUGUUAUUCGCAUCAUCAAGUCCAAUUACGGACGCCUCGACCAGAACACCUGCACAGACAAGCCUUCUGAUUACACCUUUUGUACAGCUGGAGGCUUUGGAGAAGAUGUGAAAAGCAUGUGCAACGGUAGAAAAGAGUGUUCAAUUCCAGGCAAUCCUAAAGGGAGGAUAGUGUUUUCAUACUGUGAUCAAUCCCCCAAGUAUGUGUACGUGUCCUACGUCUGUGAAGCAUAGGAUAAGUACACAAUGAACACCAACAGUUGGUGUACAGGUGACCUGAAGAUGGAGGAUUUCUCCUGCAUCUGAGGAACCUUGUUCCAAAUCUAAAAAGUAAAAAACCCAAUUAAUAAAAGAGAGGAACUAUCAUCUGGGCCUGUGUCUUCUGUCAACAUUUCAUGACCAAUUGAGAAUAUAUAUACACUCCAAACAGAACAGAUCUCUCUACAAAAAUACAUUUUUAUUUAAGACAUCGAUUUACACCUACAAAGAACUAGAAAAGAAAUUCCUGCUUAUUUCCAAUCUGGUGACACUGUGACAGAGGUCAAUCCACCCAAAGGACAGAAUACCCAGAAACACAACAACGUUGUGCUGCUGACCCGUGUCGCAAAGACCUGUCCAACACAAGAGAGGCAACUCUUUGGGACAGGACUUUGCUGUUCACCUGCACCUUAAAGUCAAAAGUCAGUCGUUCUGGGGCAGCAACCUAAAAGUUUAUUCUCUUGAAGACAGAUGAAGAAGCCAUAUUUGUUAGAACAGAACAACCAUCCACAAAGAGAGAGAUGUUUCUUCUAAAAUCAAAAAAAUUCAACGUCAGAAUUUUGUGAUUAUGAGGCUCGUAUUAUCGUCGCAAGCUCCACAUAAGUCCUGGUCCUCAGAUGAGGGAGGUCAGCGACGGUUGCAGAAAUCCAGCCACACAAAACAUACAUCUGUUCAAAUGAACCCCUAUUAAUCCUCACAUGUUCAGGAAGUACAUAUAAAACAGUUUACUGAUAUCAGCUAAUGUUUGAUGUUUUAGUUUAAACCAUUAACUAAGAGCUCGAAGGCUAGCUCAUACCAGGAAGAUGAGAACUCUGGCAAACAGAAAAAGGCAGGAACAAAUUGACCAGAAGAAUGAGCAGAUUAGUACAGAAACACAACAGGAACAGGCAGGGUCAAAACCUGCAAAUCAGUCCAAAGAAUAACGCUGGAGAAUCGGGCAUAAACACAUAAACUGGCAAGGCAAGAGUGCCAAGUAAGGAGUUUAAAUUACUGAGGUCCAAACAGCUGUCCCAGAUUGGGUUGAGGAGCAAAGGAAGACACAGCUGUGCAGAAUUGUGCUGAUUAGGAUGGAGCAAACUUACACGCUGAAGGUGUUCUGGCACCUCCCCGCCACCACAACACGUUCCAUGUUUUUGUCCACACUAGGGCUCAAACCGGGAAUCCUCCGCUUCUCAGCCCAGUCCCCCAACACUGUCUUUUCAAACUAUUCAUUGGAAAUAAAACAAACAAAGUAUUUGUUCUUGAGGGUAUGCAGUAGCAAAACAAUUGAACAUG